GCUACGUCGUAUGGGGAAUGGCUCGGCUCGAGCGCCGAUGAAGGUCGUGUCAAGCUGCGAUAUGCGCCGGGUAGUUGCAAGAAGACUAUGAUCCGGUGACCGCCGAAUGGGACUUCCUAUUCUUCGGAAUGUUGAGUAAUCAACGGGAACGCGGGGGAUCGAAACAUCCUAGUACCCGCAGGAAAAGAAAUCACAGAGAUGCCGUCAGUAAAGGCGAUCGAACGCGGCACAGAGCAAACCGAAUCCCUCAUAGAAAUGUGAGGGAGUUGUGGUGUAGUGGACCCAGAUACAUCUUAACUGGUCAACCUGAAGUUACCUGGAAAGGUACACCAAAGAGGGUGACAGUCCUGUAAGGAUAAGCCAGAAAGAUGAGUUUUGGUGUUCCGGAGUAACGUGCGUUGGAUAUCGCGCGUGAAGCUGGGGAACAUUCAUCUCCAACUCUAAAUACGUCUCGAGACCGAUAGCGCAGUAGUAGCGCGAGUGAAAGCUGAAAAGUACCCUUGACGGGAGGUCAAAAGAGCCUGAAACCAUCCGACUAUAACCAGACAUGGCGUUAAAGCGAAGAAACUCGAAAGAGUGGAGCAGCGUUGUGUUAUCCGUUUUGAAUAACGGGCCAGCGAGUUCUGAUCAGUGGCGAGACUAAGGUAUUGAAUACCGGAGUCACAGGGAAACCAACAAGUACGCAACACCGCAAGGUGCGAGGUACGAGGUGCGCUCGCCUGGAGUCACUGGUGGGAUACCCGAAGCCAGUUGAUCUAUGCGUGGGCAGGUUGAAGCCCCUCGAAAGGGGGGUGGAGGACCGAACGGGUAAUGAUGUGCAAAUCUUUCCGAUGACCUGCGUAUAGGGGUGAAAGGCCAAUCUAAACUGGAAAUAGCUGGUUCCUCUCGAAACUUGUCGCAGCAAGACCUCAGCCGAGAUAGAUUGUGGGGUAGAGCGACCAAUUAGGGGCUUAGGCCGGGAAACCGGUCGGCUCUUUGUUGAACUCCGAACCUGCGAUCGUCGUAGACGCUGGGAUUGAGGGCCUCUGGGGUAAGCUUGGGGUCCAUAAGGAAAUGAAUCCAGCCUAGGGUUAAGGUCCCUAAAUACCGGCUAAGUGAAACAUGAAACUGCGUCCGCAGUCUAAGACAACCGGGAGGUGGGCUUAGAAGCAGCCAUNNUAAAGAAAGCGUAACAGCUCACCGGUCGAGAUUGUGGGUCAGGAAGAUGGACGGGUCUAAAGCCGGAUACCGAUACCCUAGAGCACCGCAAGGUGAUCUGGUAGAGAGGUGACGUGCAUGGGUAGAAGUUUGGCCGUGAGGUCAAGUGGACCGUGCUCGUAUAAGGAUGCUGGUAGGAGUAGCAGCAAAGAUUGGUGAGAAUCCAAUCCGCCGCAGGGGCCAGGGUNNNNNAAACAGGUUAAUAUUCCUGUGCCAUAAUAGUCAUCGCCUAACACGAGACACAUCCGGAUAGGCCGAGCAGGGGUGUCAACCUGUUCAAGCGUUGAAACCUUCGGAGAACCGUAAUGGUGAGAAGUUGGUGAAUGCGCGAGUAGGCGGGCGAAGGCCCGCUUCGGCUGAUUCCAGGUGUCAAUGAAAAUCGUGUUAGUUUAGGCUAUUAUGUUCGUACCGAGAUCCGACACUGGUGCCCCUAGGUGAGAAGCCUAAGGCGUGUCGGCGUAAUCGUAGCGAGGGAAUUCGGCAAAUUAGCCCCGUACCUUAGGUAUAAGGGGUGCCAGCAAUGAAGAUUGCUGGUCUCAGUAACAAGGGAGCUCCGACUGUUUAAUAAAAACACAGGUCACAGCUAGUCCGAAAGGAUUUGUAUUGUGGCUGAAGCCUGCCCAGUGACGGUAUCUGAACCUCGGGUUCAACUGAGCGAAGGACCGUUAAACGGCGGGGGUAACUAUGACCCUCUUAAGGUAGCGUAGUACCUUGUCGCUUAAUUGGCGACUUGCAUGAAGGCCCAACGAGAGCUCUACUGUCCCCGCUUCGAAGCCGGUGAAACUGAUAGUACCGGCGCACAAUCCGGUAUCUUCCACCUGAAAGCGAAGACCCCAUGGAGCUUUACUGCAACCUGUUGUUGUGGUACGAGCCCCGAUGUGUAGCGUAGGCAGGAGUCGUUACCAGGGUUUGCCGCUAGGCAAAUUCCGAGACACCAAUGAAACACUGCCCUUCGGGACUCGUAUCACUUACUCCUUCGGGAGGACAGCUAUAGGUAGGCAGUUUGGGUGGGGCGCCACGCGCUCAAAAAGAUAACAAGCGCGCCCAAUGGUCAGCUCAGGCAGGUCAGAAAUCUGCCGUUGAAUGCAAAGGUAUAAGCUGGCUUGACGCGGGUUGGGACAAUAACAAUCCGCGAUACGAAAGUAGGGCUUAGCGAACCACUCAGCCUUCUGAAUGGGGGCGAGUGAUAACAGAAAAGUUACCCUGGGGAUAACUGAGUCGUCGCUAGCAAGAGUUCAUAUCGACCUAGCGGUUUGCUACUUCGCUGUCGGCUCUCCCUAUCCUGGCGGUGCAGCAGCUGCCAAGGGUGGGGUUGUUCGCCCAUUAAAAGGGAUCGUGAGCUGGGUUUAGACCGUCGUGAGACAGGUUUGUUGCUUUUUGGUGGAAGUGUAUUGAUGCCUGACGGGAAGGAUCCUUUAGUACGAGAGGAACGGGGAUUCGUCGCCUCUAGUUCAUCAGUUGUCUGGCAAGGCACUGCUGAGCAGCCACGCGAUAAGGGAUAAGAGCUGAACGCAUCUAAGCUCGAAACUCCCCCGGAAAAGAGGCAUCUUUAGAACGCUCAUAAAUGAUGAGCUUGAUAGGACUGGGGUGUAAGCAUCAAGGUUCGCCGAGGUGUUCAGCCCGCAGUUACUAAUGUUCGCGCCGCGAAU
rnacentral:rRNA from 1 species